UCCAGACUCCUACGGGAGGCAGCAGUGGGGAAUAUUGGGCAAUGGGCGCAAGCCUGACCCAGCAACGCCGCGUGAAGGAAGAAGGCUUUCGGGUUGUAAACUUCUUUUAAGAGGGAAGAGUAGAAGACGGUACCUCUUGAAUAAGCCACGGCUAACUACGUGCCAGCAGCCGCGGUAAUACGUAGGUGGCAAGCGUUGUCCGGAUUUACUGGGUGUAAAGGGCGUGUAGCCGGGUUGACAAGUCAGAUGUGAAAUCCUGCGGCUUAACCGCAGAACUGCAUUUGAAACUGUUGAUCUUGAGUACUGGAGAGGCAGACGGAAUUCCUAGUGUAGCGGUGAAAUGCGUAGAUAUUAGGAGGAACACCAGUGGCGAAGGCGGCUUACUGGACAGUAACUGACGUUGAGGCACGAAAGUGUGGGGAGCAAACAGGAUUAGAUACCCCCGUAAU
rnacentral:rRNA from 1 species